rnacentral:rRNA from 1 species
UACGUAGGGGGCAAGCGUUAUCCGGAUUUACUGGGUGUAAAGGGAGCGCAGACGGCAGUGCAAGUCUGGAGUGAAAGCCCGGGGCCCAACCCCGGAACCGCUCUGGAAACUGUGCGGCUAGAGUACUGGAGGGGCAGGCGGAAUUCCUAGUGUAGCGGUGAAAUGCGUAGAUAUUAGGAGGAACACCAGUGGCGAAGGCGGCCUGCUGGACAGUAACUGACGUUGAGGCUCGAAAGCGUGGGGAGCAAACAGG